GCCUUUAUAGCUCAGACGGUAGAGCGCAACAAUGGUAAUGUUGAGGUCUGCGGUUCGAUUCCGCAUGGAGGCU
rnacentral:tRNA from 1 species